GGUUAAGUUAAUAAGGGCGCACGGUGGAUGCCUUGGCACUAGGAGCCGAAGAAGGACGUGACAAACGACGAUAUGCCUUGGGUAGCUGUAAGUAAGCGAUGAUCCAGGGAUUUCCGAAUGGGGGAACCCAACAGGUACUACCUGUUACCCGCAUCUGUUAAGGAUGUGAGGAGGAAGACGCAGUGAACUGAAACAUCUAAGUAGCUGCAGGAAGAGAAAGCAAAAGCGAUUGCCUUAGUAGCGGCGAGCGAAACGGCAGGAGGGCAAACCGAAGAGUUUACUCUUCGGGGUUGUAGGACUGCAAUGUGGACUCAAAGAUUAUAGAAGAAUGAUUUGGGAAGAUCAGCCAAAGAGAGUAAUAGCCUCGUAUUUAAAAUAGUCUUUGUACCUAGCAGUAUCCUGAGUACGGCGGGACACGUGAAAUCCCGUCGGAAUCUGGGAGGACCAUCUCCCAACCCUAAAUACUCCCUAGUGACCGAUAGUGAACCAGUACCGUGAGGGAAAGGUGAAAAGCACCCCGGGAGGGGAGUGAAAUAGAACCUGAAACCGUGUGCCUACAACAAGUUCGAGCCCGUUAAUGGGUGAGAGCGUGCCUUUUGUAGAAUGAACCGGCGAGUUACGUUAUGAUGCGAGGUUAAGUUGAAGAGACGGAGCCGUAGGGAAACCGAGUCUGAAUAGGGCGCCUUAGUAUCAUGACGUAGACCCGAAACCAUGUGACCUACCCAUGAGCAGGUUGAAGGUGCGGUAAGACGCACUGGAGGACCGAACCAGGGCACGUUGAAAAGUGCUUGGAUGACUUGUGGGUAGCGGAGAAAUUCCAAACGAACUUGGAGAUAGCUGGUUCUCUCCGAAAUAGCUUUAGGGCUAGCGUCGACAUUAGAGAUUCUUGGAGGUAGAGCACUGUUUGGGUGAGGGGUCCAUCCCGGAUUACCAAUCUCAGAUAAACUCCGAAUGCCAAUGAAUUAUGGUCGGCAGUCAGACUGCGAGUGCUAAGAUCCGUAGUCGAAAGGGAAACAGCCCAGACCACCAGCUAAGGUCCCAAAAUAAUUGUUAAGUGGAAAAGGAUGUGGGGUUGCACAGACAACUAGGAUGUUAGCUUAGAAGCAGCUAUUCAUUCAAAGAGUGCGUAAUAGCUCACUAGUCGAGUGACCCUGCGCCGAAAAUGUACCGGGGCUAAAACAAUUUACCGAAGCUGUGGAUACCUUUAUAGGUAUGGUAGGAGAGCGUUCUAUGUGUGAAGAAGGUGUACCGUGAGGAGUGCUGGAACGCAUAGAAGUGAGAAUGCCGGUAUGAGUAGCGAAAGACAGGUGAGAAUCCUGUCCACCGUAAGACUAAGGUUUCCAGGGGAAGGCUCGUCCGCCCUGGGUUAGUCGGGACCUAAGGAGAGACCGAAAGGUGUAUCCGAUGGACAACAGGUUGAUAUUCCUGUACUAGAGUAUGUAGUGAUGGAGGGACGCAGUAGGCUAACUAAAGCAGACGAUUGGAAGUGUCUGUCUAAGCAGUGAGGUGUGAUAUGAGUCAAAUGCUUAUAUCUAUAACAUUGAGCUGUGAUGGGGAGCGAAGUUUAGUAGCGAAGUUAGUGACGUCACACUGCCAAGAAAAGCUUCUAGCGUUUAAACAUACUCUACCCGUACCGCAAACCGACACAGGUAGUCGAGGCGAGUAGCCUCAGGUGAGCGAGAGAACUCUCGUUAAGGAACUCGGCAAAAUGACCCCGUAACUUCGGGAGAAGGGGUGCUGACUUUAAGUCAGCCGCAGUGAAUAGGCCCAAGCAACUGUUUAUCAAAAACACAGCUCUCUGCUAAAUCGUAAGAUGAUGUAUAGGGGGUGACGCCUGCCCGGUGCUGGAAGGUUAAGAGGAGUGCUUAGCGUAAGCGAAGGUAUGAAUUGAAGCCCCAGUAAACGGCGGCCGUAACUAUAUUUGGGCACUGUCUCAACGAGAGACUCGGUGAAAUUUUAGUACCUGUGAAGAUGCAGGUUACCCGCGACAGGACGGAAAGACCCCAUGGAGCUUUACUGCAGUUUGAUAUUGAGUGUCUGUACCACAUGUACAGGAUAGGUAGGAGUCUAUGAGAUCGGGACGCCAGUUUCGAAGGAGACGUUGUUGGGAUACUACCCUUGUGUUAUGGCCACUCUAACCCGGAUAGGUGAUCCCUAUCGGAGACAGUGUCUGACGGGCAGUUUGACUGGGGCGGUCGCCUCCUAAAAGGUAACGGAGGCGCCCAAAGGUUCCCUCAGAAUGGUUGGAAAUCAUUCGCAGAGUGUAAAGGUAUAAGGGAGCUUGACUGCGAGAGCUACAACUCGAGCAGGGACGAAAGUCGGGCUUAGUGAUCCGGUGGUUCCGUAUGGAAUUGGGCUGUUCGCCCAUUAAAGCGGCACGCGAGCUGGGUUCAGAACGUCGUGAGACAGUUCGGUCCCUAUCCGUCGCGGGCGUAGGAAAUUUGAGAGGAUCUGCUCCUAGUACGAGAGGACCAGAGUGGACUUACCGCUGGUGUACCAGUUGUCUUGCCAAAGGCAUCGCUGGGUAGCUAUGUAGGGAAGGGAUAAACGCUGAAAGCAUCUAAGUGUGAAACCCACCUCAAGAUGAGAUUUCCCAUGAUUUUAUAUCAGUAAGAGCCCUGAGAGAUGAUCAGGUAGAUAGGUUAGAAGUGGAAGUGUGGCGACACAUGUAGCGGACUAAUACUAAUAGCUCGAGGACUUAUCCAA
rnacentral:rRNA from 1 species